AGCCAACUGAUGAGUACCAAAUAGGACGAAAUGCACAUCCUGGAU
rnacentral:hammerhead_ribozyme from 1 species